rnacentral:rRNA from 1 species
AUGUGCUCUAAAAGGGCUAUUUCUAAGUUGUUUGCUUCUCACAUCUCCAGAAUUCCCAAGAGCAAGCUAGAUAUGCAGGUGGAAUUCCGAGUCCGGGUGCUACUUGCCAUGUCCAGAAGAACCUUGCCAAAUUGGACCCAAAACCAAGUCAGAUUCCGAGUUCCCGACACCACCGAAAUAUUGACCAUGAACUCUUUUUACUACUUCCACAGGUUUCACCGAGAGGAAGAGGCAUUUCGAGGAAGAGAAGCGUCACCUUUUUAUGCUCAAGAUGAGAAUGGAAGAGACCAUGAUGAGGAGAGGAGCGGAGAUGCACCGGCCGCAUGCACAAGUGGAACUACAGUGCGGGUGCCAAUGGCAUUUCUCUUGCUUGCUUGCCCUAGUUAG